AUUGAUCGCUGGCGGCAGGCCUAACACAUGCAAGUCGAGCGGAUGAAGGGAGCUUGCUCCUGGAUUCAGCGGCGGACGGGUGAGUAAUGCCUAGGAAUCUGCCUGGUCGUGGGGGAUAACGUCCGGAAACGGGCGCUAAUACCGCAUACGUCCUGAGGGAGAAAGUGGGGGAUCUUCGGACCUCACGCUAUCAGAUGAGCCUAGGUCGGAUUAGCUAGUUGGUGGGGUAAAGGCCUACCAAGGCGACGAUCCGUAACUGGUCUGAGAGGAUGAUCAGUCACACUGGAACUGAGACACGGUCCAGACUCCUACGGGAGGCAGCAGUGGGGAAUAUUGGACAAUGGGCGAAAGCCUGAUCCAGCCAUGCCGCGUGUGUGAAGAAGGUCUUCGGAUUGUAAAGCACUUUAAGUUGGGAGGAAGGGCAGUAAGUUAAUACCUUGCUGUUUUGACGUUACCAACAGAAUAAGCACCGGCUAACUUCGUG
rnacentral:rRNA from 1 species